rnacentral:hammerhead_ribozyme from 1 species
AUCCAGCUGAAGAGUCUCAAAUAAGACGAAGUGGCACGCGUUCUGGAU